GAUGAACGCUGGCGGCGUGCCUAAUACAUGCAAGUCGAGCGAACAGAUAAGGAGCUUGCUCCUUUGACGUUAGCGGCGGACGGGUGAGUUACACGUGGAUAACCUACCUAUAAGACUGGGAUAACUUCGGGAAACCGGAGCUAAUACCGGAUAACAUAUUGAACCGCAUGGUUCAAUAGUGAAAGGCGGCUUUGCUGUCACUUAUAGAUGGAUCCGCGUCGUAUUAGCUAGUUGGUAAGGUAACGGCUUACCAAGGCAACGAUACGUAGCCGACCUGAGAGGGUGAUCGGCCACACUGGAACUGAGACACGGUCCAGACUCCUACGGGAGGCAGCAGUAGGGAAUCUUCCGCAAAGGGCGAAAGCCUGACGGAGCAACGCCGCGUGAGUGAUGAAGGUCUUCGGAUCGUAAAACUCUGUUAUCAGGGAAGAACAAAUGUGUAAGUAACUGUGCACAUCUUGACGGUACCUGAUCAGAAAGCCACGGCUAACUACGUG
rnacentral:rRNA from 1 species